rnacentral:lncRNA from 1 species
UCUGGUAACACAUUCUGCGAAACCUCUCUUCCGUUAAUAGGUUGAGUUCCAAUUUAACUGUAAUGGAGUUAUUAAUGGUCAGUUCUUUUGAUUGUUUUUCUUCAAUUUCGUACUUGGAGGAAACGGUGGAAAUUCAAAUGUGAAGGGGAGCUUUUGGUCUUGAUUUCUAUUGAGUUUUUAAAGGGAUGAUGAGGAACUUAGGAGGACUGCAGGAAGCACUAGGUCAUUGAGACUAUGGUCUCGGCAGAACUGGUACAAGGUAGGUUCUCCACAAAAGGGAAUCAUUUUCGCUGACAAGUAUUUGCCAAUAUAGGUUGAGUGAUUGGCAUCCUCAGUUCAUUGCUUCAUUGACAUGUAGCUACGUUACUUGAGCAAACCAAUUUGGGUAAGCUUCUCAUCCAUUCGAGUCAGCACAACAGUAGAUAGAUAAAUCACAGAGUGAAAGACAGAGGUCAAGGUGCGACCUACAGUGAGGCAACAAGUGUAUGGCAUUGAAAGACAGUGAGGUCAUAUCACUAAUAUGUAAGACGCUACCACAUUAGCGUGUUUGUGGACACAUUUGGAAGAACAAUUGUUGGAUGGAAUUGUCGGAAUGGUCCAGUAUUGGAACACGAAGAAUAGGCUCGUUGAAAAUAGUUUUAUAUAUGCACAGGAGACCACAUGACUUAACCAAGUGAAGUCUUCAAAGUAUACAGUAGUACCCUGAAUUUCUAUAAGAUCCCUGUAAUGCUGUCAACAAUUUCAGCUGUCAACAAUUUGUUAUGUGUUUGACUCUAAACAAAACCCCAAACUACAAAUUUCUGUUGUGUUUUAGUUGUGUUAUUGUUGUGUUACUCUGAUUGUAAAGAAUUGCUCUUGGGGCUUCACAUAUGAUAAUCGCCAUAAUUCUGUCUUAAUUCUAGGUUUGCCAUGUUGUGGUGCACAAUCAUGUGAUGUAUAUUCUGGGUUAAAUAUUGACAAUUGGAUGGUGCUACAGAUCAACAUGACAAUGUAUGUACAAGCUCUAUAGGAAGAUUGAGAAAUUUGUGUUUUUGUUUGUCUCAUAAAUC